rnacentral:rRNA from 1 species
AGUCGAGGGGCAGCAUGGUCUUAGCUUGCUAAGGCCGAUGGCGACCGGCGCACGGGUGAGUAACACGUAUCCAACCUGCCGUCUACUCUUGGACAGCCUUCUGAAAGGAAGAUUAAUACAAGAUGGCAUCAUGAGUCCGCAUGUUCACAUGAUUAAAGGUAUUCCGGUAGACGAUGGGGAUGCGUUCCAUUAGAUAGUAGGCGGGGUAACGGCCCACCUAGUCUUCGAUGGAUAGGGGUUCUGAGAGGAAGGUCCCCCACAUUGGAACUGAGACACGGUCCAAACUCCUACGGGAGGCAGCAGUGAGGAAUAUUGGUCAAUGGGCGAGAGCCUGAACCAGCCAAGUAGCGUGAAGGAUGACUGCCCUAUGGGUUGUAAACUUCUUUUAUAAAGGAAUAAAGUCGGGUAUGCAUACCCGUUUGCAUGUACUUUAUGAAUAAGGAUCGGCUAACUCCGUGCCAGCAGCCGCGGUAAUACGGAGGAUCCGAGCGUUAUCCGGAUUUAUUGGGUUUAAAGGGAGCGUAGAUGGAUGUUUAAGUCAGUUGUGAAAGUUUGCGGCUCAACCGUAAAAUUGCAGUUGAUACUGGAUAUCUUGAGUGCAGUUGAGGCAGGCGGAAUUCGUGGUGUAGCGGUGAAAUGCUUAGAUAUCACGAAGAACUCCGAUUGCGAAGGCAGCCUGCUAAGCUGCAACUGACAUUGAGGCUCGAAAGUGUGGGUAUCAAACAGGAUUAGAUACCCUGGUAGUCCACACGGUAAACGAUGAAUACUCGCUGUUUGCGAUAUACGGCAAGCGGCCAAGCGAAAGCGUUAAGUAUUCCACCUGGGGAGUACGCCGGCAACGGUGAAACUCAAAGGAAUUGACGGGGGCCCGCACAAGCGGAGGAACAUGUGGUUUAAUUCGAUGAUACGCGAGGAACCUUACCCGGGCUUAAAUUGCAGAUGAAUUACGGUGAAAGCCGUAAGCCGCAAGGCAUCUGUGAAGGUGCUGCAUGGUGU